rnacentral:rRNA from 1 species
UAGGGAAUCUUCGGCAAUGGACGAAAGUCUGACCGAGCAACGCCGCGUGAGUGAAGAAGGUUUUCGGAUCGUAAAACUCUGUUGUUAGAGAAGAACAAGGACGUUAGUAACUGAACGUCCCCUGACGGUAUCUAACCAGAAAGCCACGGCUAACUACGUGCCAGCAGCCGCGGUAAUACGUAGGUGGCAAGCGUUGUCCGGAUUUAUUGGGCGUAAAGCGAGCGCAGGCGGUUUCUUAAGUCUGAUGUGAAAGCCCCCGGCUCAACCGGGGAGGGUCAUUGGAAACUGGGAGACUUGAGUGCAGAAGAGGAGAGUGGAAUUCCAUGUUUAGCGGUGAAUUGCGUAGAUAUAUGGAGGAACACCAGUGGCGAAGGCGGCUCUCUGGUCUGUAACUGACGCUGAGGCUCGAAAGCGUGGGGAGCAAACAGG